rnacentral:rRNA from 1 species
UACGUAUGGUGCAAGCGUUAUCCGGAUUUACUGGGCGUAAAGGGAGCGCAGGCGGCGCGCCAAGUCUGAUGUGAAACCCCGGGGCUCAACCCCGGGCAUGCAUUGGAAACUGGCGGGCUGGAGUGCCGGAGAGGUAAGCGGAAUUCCUAGUGUAGCGGUGAAAUGCGUAGAUAUUAGGAGGAACACCAGUGGUGAAGGCGGCUUACUGGACGGCAACUGACGCUGAGGCUCGAAAGCGUGGGGAGCAAACAGG